GACGUAGGGCGCAAGCGUUGUCCGGAUUUAUUGGGCGUAAAGAGCGUGUAGGCGGCCAAGCAGGUCAGCUGUGAAAACUCGAGGCUCAACCUCGAGACGUCGGUUGAAACCGCUUGGCUAGAGUCCGGAAGAGGAGAGUGGAAUUCCCGGUGUAGCGGUGAAAUGCGCAGAUAUCGGGAAGAACACCCGUGGCGAAGGCGGCUCUCUGGGACGGUACUGACGCUGAGACGCGAAAGCGUGGGGAGCGAACAGG
rnacentral:rRNA from 1 species